UAUCUGCCCACCUGAAAUUUAGGGAGUUUUCAGUAUUUCCAUUUGGUAGAUAACAGUUUAUGGGUCAAUAAUAUCUUACUGCAAUUCAUGACCAUGUACAGAAUGAAGGAACCAAAGGAGGUGACUCCCACAUCUUUAUACUGAUCCUGUGAGAGCUUUCUCUUAACAAAGGCUAUUAAGCAUGUUUUUUUUUUUUUCUGCAUUAAUAUAUUGUGAGCAUGGUAUAACCUGUAAUAUUCACUUGUAUAACCUUUUUGGCAUAUUCUUACAUUUCACAACAUGGUUUUGCAGUCAUCAGGGAACCCUGUACAGGAGGAUGGAGAGCCCAGUUCUGCCAAAGUGCUGGAGACCCUCUGCGCCGUCUCCAAGAAAGAGCGGAGGACAGCAAGGUGACAUAUACAAUGAAUAUGGGGUCAUAGCACAACCUUGACACUGAAUUGUGAAGAACACAGGAUUUCUUUAUUGAGCAUAUCAAGCAAGGGAUUCUUUCAGUGCAUUGCUACAGGUAUAAAGGGAAAGUGCAUUAAUUUCAGCAGUUGGGAGAUCUUUUUAAAAGUUGGUUUUCUUGCCCAUCUUUUUGUCCAGAUUCUCAUACUCCUUUACAGCUAUUUUCAGAAAGAAAGGAAAAAAAAGGGGGGGAAAAAAAGAGUAGAUGCUGCAGAGUCUGAGUCUGUAUAUGGUCAGCUGUGCUUGCUAGAGUGUAAUUUUCACUUAUUAAUGUGAAUAGAAGACAGCUGUAAGUCUGCAGCUAAAUUUAAAUUUAGGUGUCAGAGCAAUAUCAUCGCUACUUUGAAUUGUAUGAUAUUGCUUUAAAAUUAAUGAUUAUUAAAGGUUACUUGUUCUGUGGUUUUGUUUGUUUGUUUUACUUUGUUUUGGUUUCUUUUAAAGAGCAGGUUCCAUUACAUUUCUAAGUACAAUAACCUAAGACCAUGUCAACAAACUGUGUAACUACAAACAUUUCCAUCCUAGCACAGAACAUAACUUAGCCUUAACUCUAAGAUUAUGAAUUUUAAGGGAAAAUAAGUGUGCUCUUCAAAUACCCCUAGUAGGAUGGCAACAGGGGGAGAAGGAUUAUGUUUAUUGGUUGUAAUCAACUACAUCACAGUUGAAAGUUAGUAUUGAUUUAGACAUACUGCCCACUGAAUAUCAAGUUACUUCUCAAGAUUCUCACCCCUUUCUGAGCCUAUCUGUCUCUGUGGGUCUUGAGACUAACUGCUGUUAAGCCUCUCUACUUGUAACGGGUGGUUCUGGCUAAAAAUCUAAUAACCCUGGUGCUAUAGGGCAGGGCAAGAUAUAUUUUUGUUAUUUAUAUGAGAUAAGAAGUUCUAAGUCUGAUCUAGGCCCAUGUUUGGAUUGCCUAAGAAAGGGUCCUUUUGACUGCAGGACAUGUAUUCUGGUGUGGAAAGAACUGAAAAAGAGAAACAUUACUGCACAGUUUUCUUCAUGAAGAAAUGUUUGCAUUGCAGAUCCCUAGUAAGAAGUGAUAAAUUCUUCAUCAUGUAAAGACUAAGCAUAUAGCACAAUAAACGUCUCCGAGGAUCCUGUGCA
ensembl:lncRNA